UCGCUAGUAAUCGCGGAUCAGCAUGCCGCGGUGAAUACGUUCCCGGGCCUUGUACACACCGCCCGUCACACCACGAGAGUUGGCAACACCCGAAGUCGGUGAGGUAACCUUUAUGGAGCCAGCCGCCGAAGGUGGGGCCAAUGAUUGGGGUGAAGUCGUAACAAGGUAGCCGUAUCGGAAGGUGCGGCUG
rnacentral:rRNA from 1 species